UCGGCAGACUGAACCAGCCAAGUCGCGUGAGGGAAGACGGCCCUACGGGUUGUAAACCUCUUUUGUCGGAGAGUAAAGUACGCUACGUGUAGCGUAUUGCAAGUAUCCGAAGAAAAAGCAUCGGCUAACUCCGUGCCAGCAGCCGCGGUAAUACGGAGGAUGCGAGCGUUAUCCGGAUUUAUUGGGUUUAAAGGGUGCGUAGGCGGCACGCCAAGUCAGCGGUGAAAUUUCCGGGCUCAACCCGGACUGUGCCGUUGAAACUGGCGAGCUAGAGUGCACAAGAGGCAGGCGGAAUGCGUGGUGUAGCGGUGAAAUGCAUAGAUAUCACGCAGAACCCCGAUUGCGAAGGCAGCCUGCUAGGGUGCGACAGACGCUGAGGCACGAAAGCGUGGGUAUCGAACAGGAUUAGAUACCCUGGUAGUCCACGCAGUAAACGAUGAAUACUAACUGUUUGCGAUACAAUGUAAGCGGUACAGCGAAAGCGUUAAGUAUUCCACCUGGGGAGUACGCCGGCAACGGUGAAACUCAAAGGAAUUGACGGGGGCCCGCACAAGCGGAGGAACAUGUGGUUUAAUUCGAUGAUACGCGAGGAACCUUACCCGGGCUCAAACGCAGGGGGAAUAUAUAUGAAAGUAUAUAGCUAGCAAUAGUCACCUGCGAGGUGCUGCAUGGUUGUCGUCAGCUCGUGCCGUGAGGUGUCGGCUUAAGUGCCAUAACGAGCGCAACCCCUAUCGACAGUUACUAACGGGUGAAGCCGAGGACUCUGUCGAGACUGCCGGCGCAAGCCGCGAGGAAGGUGGGGAUGACGUCAAAUCAGCACGGCCCUUACGUCCGGGGCGACACACGUGUUACAAUGGCAGGUACAGAAGGCAGCCAGUCAGCAAUGACGCGCGAAUCCCGAAAACCUGUCUCAGUUCGGAUUGGAGUCUGCAACCCGACUCCAUGAAGCUGGAUUCGCUAGUAAUCGCGCAUCAGCCAUGGCGCGGUGAAUACGUUCCCGGGCCUUGUACACACCGCCCGUCAAGCCAUGGAAGCCGGGAGUACCUGAAGCAUGCAACCGCAAGGAGCGUACGAAGGUAAUACCGGUAACUGGGGCUAAGUCGUAACAAGGUAGCCGUACCGGAAGGUGCGGCUG
rnacentral:rRNA from 1 species